UCUGGGCCGAACACCUCGCAAACCGCCUGGGUGCUCGCCCGUCCUCCUGAAUCCAAGCGCGACCCUUCCUUUGGCGUGGCGUCCCCCCAUAUCCCCCCAGGGCCCGGUACCCGCCUCUCGCGUCGUUCCGUUCCGCCAUGCGCGCACCGAGGCACGGCAGCAUGCGCGCCCACGUCGCCCUGGCCUUCGCGGCGCUGGUGCUGGCCGGCGACGCCCUGCAACCGGCGCUGGCCGGCGGCUGCGGCUUCGACUACAAGGAUGCCCUCAGCAAGACCAUCAUAUUCCUGGAGGCGCAGCGCUCCGGGAAGCUGCCGCGCAGCAACCGCGUAAAGUGGCGCGGCGACUCCGGGCUCGACGACGGCAAGCUCGCCAAUGUGGAUCUCACCGGCGGAUACUACGACGCCGGCGACAACGUCAAGUACGGGCUCCCGCUGGCGUUCACGGUGACGACGCUGGCGUGGACGGCGCUGGCAUUCAAGCCCGAGCUGGAGUCGACCAAGGAGCUGAAGCACGUGCACCAGGCCAUCAAGUGGGGCACCGACUACCUGCUGAAAUGCGCCGCCAGGAAGAACAAGCUGUGGGUGCAGGUCGGCGAUCCCAACCUGGACCACCAGUGCUGGGUGCGUCCGGAGAACAUGAAGGCGCCGCGCACGCUGUACGAGAUCGACUCGAAGACGCCCGGGACGGAGAUCGCCGCCGAGACGUCGGCCGCGUUCGCCGCCUCGUCCAUGGUGUUCCGCGACGACAAGAAGUACUCGCGCAAGCUGCUGAACAAGGCGAAGCUGCUGUUCACGUUCGCCAAGAGCCACCUGGGCAGCUACGACGGCGAGUGCCCCUUCUACUGCUCCUACUCGGGCUACAACGACGAGCUGCUGUGGGCCGCGACCUGGCUGUACCUGGCGACGAGGCGGCAGGUGUACGCGGACUUCAUCGCCCACGAGGCCAUCUCGUCGAGCGUGGCCGAGUUCAGCUGGGACCUCAAGUUCCCGGGCGCGCAGGUGCUGCUGGCCGAGUUCAACAUGACCUCGGCGGGCGGCGCGCAGAACUUCAAGUCGCAGACGGUGCUGUGCGGGAACCAGCCGCUGCCCCCGGCCCGGUUGCACGAGUUCGCGCGGCAGCAGAUGGACUACCUGCUGGGCGCCAACCCGCGGCACAGCUCCUACGUCGUGGGCUUCGGCGCCAACCCGCCCACGCAGCCGCACCACCGCGGCGCAUCCACCCCCGUGCUGCCCCCCGGCACGGACGUCAACUGCGGCCUCAGCUUCGGGGACUGGAUGGCGCCCGACAAGCCCAACCCAAACGAGCUCACCGGCGCCAUCGUCGGCGGGCCCGACAAGAACGACGGCUUCGUGGACAAGCGCGGCAACUCCUCCUACACCGAGCCCUGCACCUACAUCAACUCCCUCGCCAUCGGCCCGCUCGCCGCGCUCGCCGUCCGAGGCGUGCAGCUCGUCGCCACGCAGUGAUCUAUCCCCAUGCGUGCGUGUGUGUCCCGCUGUUUCGUUUCUUCCCUGACAUGAUAUGAUUUCUACUCCGUUACUGAUGAUUCAUUGAUUCCGGCCGCCCCCGCAUUGUUCAUUAUAUUAGGUGACGUCUGCGGGCGCGUGCGGGGAUCCAUCCAAAUCUCUCACUCGCUAUUGUUUCUGUACGUACGUACGUGUACGUCCAAGAUUAUAAUGAUACUCAUAAUAAUCUCGUCGCAACUUUCGCGUGAGUUUGUUGGCCGGGUUAGGUCUCUGUUGGCUGUUAGGGGACGGGCGUGCGUGGAGCGGUGCACCGGGUUCUGGACCACCCACCUUUUCCGACGAGCGCGGAUACAUGUACACGUACGGAUGCUCGCUCGUGUGCGUGCGCGCCCGCGCGCUUCAGUUUUUUAACCGGAACAAACUUUUUGUUUAGAAAAUCUAUGAAUUAUAUAUUGUGAAAGUAUUUUUCAUAGAAAAUCUAAAAACAUAAAUCAUAUGCCAUGAAUCUAUAUAAGUUUUUUUCCUUAAAAAAUCGGUAGUUACAAAUAUAGAUAUUUGACUUAGGAUAGAUCCAAUACAGCAUGUAAGGGAGUUUUUUUUUUGGUUUAGGUAGUACUCACUUUGGUCUAAAUUGCACAAUUUAUUUAGUUUCAUAAUAAAUCAACAUUUACAACUUUGUAAGCUUAUAGUCAAAUGCACCUACAUCUACAACAUAUCCAUUUUGUUCUUCACUUC
rnacentral:misc_RNA from 1 species